GACGAACGCUGGCGGCGUGCCUAAUACAUGCAAGUCGAACGCAGUGGGGACGGGUGAGUAACACGUGGGUAACCUCCCAUCAGAGGGGAUAACACUUGGAAACAGGGGCUAAAACGAAACGGAUGGAUGGACCCGCGGUGCAUUAGCUAGUUGGUGGGGUAACGGCGCACCAAGGCCACGAUGCUUAGACGACCUGAGAGGGUGAUCGGCCACACUGGGAAUGAGACACGGCCCAGACUCCUACGGGAGGCAGCAGUAGGUAAUAUUCGGCAAUGGGCGAAAGUCUGACGUAGCAACGCCGCGUGAGUGAAGAAGGUUUUCGGAUCGUAAAACGCUGUUGUUAGAGAAGCGGUAUCUAACCAGAAAGCCACGGCUAACUACGUGCCAGCCGCCGCGGUAAUAC
rnacentral:rRNA from 1 species